rnacentral:rRNA from 1 species
GAUGAACGCUGGCGGCGUGCUUAACACAUGCAAGUCGAACGGAAAGGCCCAAGCUUGCUUGGGUACUCGAGUGGCGAACGGGUGAGUAACACGUGGGUGAUCUGCCCUGCACUUCGGGAUAAGCCUGGGAAACUGGGUCUAAUACCGGAUAGGACCACAUUUUGGAUGGUGUGGUGGAAAGUUUUUCGGUGUGGGAUGAGCUCGCGGCCUAUCAGCUUGUUGGUGGGGUAAUGGCCUACCAAGGCGUCGACGGGUAGCCGGCCUGAGAGGGUGUACGGCUACAUUGGGACUGAGAUACGGCCCAGACUCCUACGGGAGGCAGCAGUGGGGAAUAUUGCACAAUGGGCGCAAGCCUGAUGCAGCGACGCCGCGUGGGGGAUGACGGCCCUCGGGUUGUAAACUCCUUUCGCUAGGGACGAAGCGCAAGUGACGGUACCUGGAGAAGAAGCACCGGCUAACUACGUG